UAAGGCCGAGCACUUUAGCCGAACUGCCGUUGACAAACGGAGGAAGCGGGGAUGACGUCAAAUCAUCAUGCCCUUUAUGUCCUGGGCUACACACGUGCUACAAUGGCCUGUACAAAGGGCAGCAAAGGGGCGACCCGGAGCAAAUCCCAAAAAACAGGUCUCAGUUCGGAUUGCAGGCUGCAACUCGCCUGCAUGAAGGCGGAAUCGCUAGUAAUCGCAGGUCAGCAUACUGCGGUGAAUACGUUCCCGGGCCUU
rnacentral:rRNA from 1 species